AAUAGAUACCCAGGUAGUCCACGCCGUAAACGUUGGGCGCUAGAUGUGGGGACCUUUCCACGGUUUCCGUGUCGUAGCUAACGCAUUAAGCGCCCCGCCUGGGGAGUACGGCCGCAAGGCUAAAACUCAAAGGAAUUGACGGGGGCCCGCACAAGCGGCGGAGCAUGCGGAUUAAUUCGAUGCAACGCGAAGAACCUUACCAAGGCUUGACAUACACGAGAACGGGCCAGAAAUGGUCAACUCUUUGGACACUCGUGAACAGGUGGUGCAUGGUUGUCGUCAGCUCGUGUCGUGAGAUGUUGGGUUAAGUCCCGCAACGAGCGCAACCCUCGUCGCAUGUUGCCAGCACGUUAUGGUGGGGACUCAUGUGAGACUGCCGGGGUCAACUCGGAGGAAGGUGGGGAUGACGUCAAAUCAUCAUGCCCCUUAUGUCUUGGGCUUCACGCAUGCUACAAUGGCCGGUACAAAGGGCUGCGAUGUCGUAAGGCGGAGCGAAUACCCAAAAAGCCGGUCUCAGUUCGGAUUGAGGU
rnacentral:rRNA from 1 species